AAAUUUAAAAAAAAAAAAAAAAAAAAAAAAAAGACAACGAGUUCAUCUAAAAGUAUUAUGUAGAGUAAGGAAGGCAAUGCUGAGUGUAUCAGUUCGCACCUGGAGGUCUCAGCCCCUUUGGGAGUCACAUAUCAGAUAUCCUGCAUAUAAGACAUUUACAUUAUGAUCCAUAAAAGGAAAAUUACAGUUAUGAAGUAAUUUUGUGAUUUGGGUCAUCACAACAUGCGGAACUGUGUGAAAGGGUCGGAGCAUUAGGAAGUUGUGGACUUCUGGCUUAGCACAUCAGCUGUUGGAAAUGGGGUCUCCCUGUGUCUCUGAUGCUAGCAGAGUUAGUUUUUGCUUCCUUACUGAAACCAGUGAUGGGGUAGGUAGGAGGUAAUCCUUAAUGGGUUUCCCUGUUCCUCUUCUUCCAGAAGCCUCUCCUGUUUCCUCUUUUAUUAUGUAGCUCUCAAACUCAUCGUCCUCAGCUUCCUACAUCCCAGGCAUGUGCUACCACAUCAGCGUUUUGGGCUCUUAGAUUUUUCGAACCGUACCGGUUCCUGACAGUUUGAGGUGCUGGUCCUGAUUUUCAGAAACUCUGGGUCAUAGGUCUGGUUUUCCCAGAUGUUGCUUACUACGUCUUUUGCUCACACAGACAGAGUCAGCCAGAACUCCCCGCUGAGCCACAGCUGUCAGGAGAAGAGUCCAGUUCUGAAGAUGAUUCUGACCUCUUUGUCAACACCAAUCACAGACAGUAUCAUGAGAGUGACGAGGAGAGUGACGAGGAGGAGGAAGAAGAGGCAGCCUGAGCCUAGGACUCACUUCUCUACUUGCUCAGGGACUACCCCUUGGCUUAUCAGGGCUUGGACAUUCCCAGGCUGCCCUGCAAGCCUUUUCUUUUGGAUGGGGACAGGGCAUGGCCCCUUUCUGAACUGACCUAAAAGAAUUAAACCCCUGGUGGGUAAUGACUUAACACUGGUGUCCGAGUGGCUCUGUGUUAGGGAAGCUUGUAGUGAAGCCCUCUUUCUCGGUGGAGGCCUUGGUCACCUGUGGGUAGAAUGGGAAGGAACUGGGGUUUGGCUGGAAUCUACACCAUGUGACUUGUUCAUAGCACCUCUCUGGGCACUGGUUACCUCACCCUGUGCUGUGCCUCCUUAACUAACAGCAGUCAUUACCUGCUUACACUCAGUGGUGAUCCAAUAGUUAAGGUUGCGGCCUAGGGCUCAGGCUGAGGACAAAUCCCAUGGUGCCUUGUGAGCUGCUUCCCUUCCUUCCUAGUUACCCUUACUGUAGCACUGCUUACUGUCUGCUGCCAUGUAAAUGACAGCCGUGCACUUCUCUCCCUCGGCCACCUGUCAUCUCCAAACGUGUCUGGUCAGGGUACCUCUGUCCCUACCAUGUCCUUGAUUUUCAGAGUUUUGCUAAUCUCCUGAGGCUAUUAAUUUUCCUAUAGUCUUUCUUGAGAUGGUCUCUAUAACCCAGGCUUGCUUGGGAAUCAUUGUGUAGCUUGGGCUCACCCACUCAAUGGCUGUCCUGCCUCAAUCUCCAAGAGCUGGGAUUACGAGUAUGAGCCACUAUCCCUGGCUGUUGUAGCAUCCCCAUUCCUUGUACCACAGCAUCAAAAGGCCUAUUGUGUCUCAUUCCUUUGCUCACAGCGGCCUCCCUUCAUGUACUCAUUUUAGAGUAGAUCUGUUACUUCAGCUAGAAGACCCUUCAGUGGUCCAGGCACUCGGCAAACUGCAAGCUGCCUCUUGGGAGGCUUUUUUUCAGGGGAGGGGGGUUUCAAGACAGGGUUUCUCUGUGGUUUUGGAGCCUGUCCUGGAACUAGCUCUUGUAGACCAGGCUGGUCUCGAACUCACAGAGAUUAAAGGCGUGCACCACCACCGCCAGGCUCCAACAGGAAAUCUUAUGAUCACGUCCUCCCCAACUCUCAUCUGUCUGUUCUUGUUCUUCGUGUUUUUUAUUUAUUAUGUAUACAGUAUUCUACCUGUGUGUAUGCCUGCAGCCCAGAAGAGGGCACCAGACCUCAUUACAGAUGGUUGUGAGCCACCAUGUGGUGGCUGGAAUUGAACUCAGAACCUUUGGAAGAGCAGGCAAUGUUCUUAACCACUGAGCCAUCUUUCCAGCCCCUUCGUGUUUGUUUUUUAUGAUACUAAGUAUCCUUGAGUAUACAUAUGUAUAAAAUAUAGAUGUAUAUAUAUGGAAAAAUAGACCAGGUGGGUUAAAGCUAAAGAUAAAUUUACCUUAACUUCUCUGAACUUGUUUGUUUUUUCAAGACAGGGUUUCUCUGCAGCUUUGGAGCCUGUCCUGGAACUAGCUCUUGUAGGCAUAUAUAUGUAAUUUAAAUUUUAAAAACCAUAAUUCAAGCAACUCUGAGUUGUGUACAUUUUGCUUUCUGAGUGUCUCUUAACCCUUAUGCUUAAGAUCUACAUUUAAAAUAUCUUUUAAUAAACUCUCUUUGCGGGGAGCUGAGAACUUGCUCAGCAGUUCCAAGCAUUAUCUACUCUUCCAUAGAACCAGGGUUUCCAUCCUCAGCAACAGUGUGGCAGCUCACAAUCAUCUCUAACUCCAGUUCCAGUGGAUCAACCCCUCUUCUGGCUUCUGCAGCCACCAGGCAAGAAAUGUGGUAAACAGACACACACAUGCGAGACACCCAUCCCCAUAUAAAACAUAAUAAAAACCCUCAAUUCAAAAAAAAGGAAGAAAAACUGUUAACAGAAAAUAGAACAAAUAGAAACUAUUAGUUCGCAUAGAAAGUGUUCAAGCAGAAAAUAUAUUCUGUGGGUCAUUUUAGGUCACAAAGACAUUUCCGGGGUCAGAGAACUAAUCUGUUCCCUUUCAGAGUCCACCCCCAACUAUUGUGGUGACUAUUUUUCAAGACAGGUUUCUAUGUAGCCCUGGCUGUCCUGGUGAACUCACUCUGUAGACCAGGUUAGCCUCGAACCCACCGAGAUCCACUUGCCUCUGCCUCAAGUGCUGGGAUUAAAGGCUGCACUACUACUACCCAGCCUGUUCUGACUCCUAAUAGAAAUUAAAUUUGCCCAUUACAUUGUAGAUUGGAAGCAGGCACAAUUCCACAUCUGGUUACCUUCCAUAUGCAUGAGAUGCACACAUUCUUCAUUCUGUCACAGAAAUAACUAUUUACCCAUCUGUCAAUGGCCGUGGAUUAUAGCAUUGUUAGGUACAUCCUUGUGCACUUUCUGUUGCUAAGCCAACAUGUUUUUAGUUUAAAAUGGAAAUUUUCAAAAUAUCCAGAAACAGCAAAAAAACAGCCUCUCACGCUUGCCACAGCCCUACGCAUUGUCAAUUUAUCAGUCAUGCCUCAUGACUGCUCCUUCUGGUUUUUAUUUAUGCUGGGGUAAUGUCAUUGUCACAUCCAUCUAUUGGUGUAUAUUACAGUAAUCUCUCUAACAGGUGGGCCAAAGCAGUAGGCAGAGCACCAGGCUGGAAGAUGACCUCGGGACCUCAGAAGGAUGCAGGCACAGCUUGAAGGGACAAGGGCUCCAGACCAAGGAGCAAAGGGGGAAGAGAGCAAAGGGGUGUGAGACUGGAGAGAAGGAGCUGCGGAGCCAGAGUAAAGUCAGCACAGGGGUGCAGACAGAAUAUCCUACAGCACCCAAAAUGCAGAGCCCCCCACCUCCAGAGACCCACCGCCUCCUCAUCCAGCUUCUUCAUCCGCCGCUCAGUCUUCAUCUUGCCUGAAC